CCAAUAGCGUAUAUUAAAGUUGUUGCAGUUAAAAAGCUCGUAGUUGAAUUUCGGGAUCAAAUUGUCGGUCGUGCCUCGGUACGAACUGGUAUUAUUGGUUCCUACCUUCUGAAGAACCGCGAUGUCAUUAAUUUGGUGUCGUGGGGAAUCAGGACUGUUACUUUGAAAAAAUUAGAGUGUUUAAAGCAGGCUUACGCUUGAAUACAUUAGCAUGGAAUAAUGAAAUAGGACGUUUGAUUCUAUUUUGUUGGUUUCUAGGAUUGACGUAAUGAUUAAUAGGGAUAGUUGGGGGCAUUAGUAUUCAAUUGUCAGAGGUGAAAUUCUUGGAUUUAUUGAAGACUAACUACUGCGAAAGCAUUUGCCAAGGAUGUUUUCAUUAAUCAAGAACGAAAGUUAGGGGAUCGAAGACGAUCAGAUACCGUCGUAGUCUUAACCAUAAACUAUGCCGACUAGGGAUCGGAUGAUGUUAAUUUUUUAAUGACUCAUUCGGCGCCUUAC
rnacentral:rRNA from 1 species